rnacentral:rRNA from 1 species
CGUGAGAUGUUGGGUUAAGUCCCGCAACGAGCGCAACCCUUGCCAUUAGUUGCUACGAAAGGGCACUCUAAUGGGACUGCCGGUGACAAACCGGAGGAAGGUGGGGAUGACGUCAGGUCAUCAUGGCCCUUAUGGGUAGGGCUACACACGUCAUACAAUGGCCGGUACAGGAGGGCUGCCAACCCGCGAGGGGGAGCCAAUCCCAGAAAACCGGUCGUAGUCCGGAUCGUAGUCUGCAACUCGACUGCG